rnacentral:rRNA from 1 species
UACGUAGGUGGCGAGCGUUGUCCGGAUUUACUGGGCGUAAAGAGCGCGCAGGCGGCUGGGCAAGUCCGAUGUGAAAGCUUCCGGCUUAACUGGAAAAUUGCAUCGGAAACUGCUCAGCUUGAAGGUGGGAGAGGGUAGCGGAAUUCCCGGUGUAGUGGUGAAAUGCGUAGAUAUUGGGAAGAACACCAGCGGCGAAAGCGCGCUACUGGGCCAUUACUGACACUCAUGGACGAAAGCUAGGGGAGCGAAAGGG